AGACCUGCCUGCGCUCGCGGACGCACACAUGCGCACCGGGGGGAGCUCCGAAGUUCAGAGUUUGUGCAAGUUUGGCGGCGCCUCGCCCGCCGUCCGGUCCCCGGGAACCCUCCCCGCGGCGGCGCGCGCUUGGACGGGCCCCGCGGGCGUCGCGGACACGCGAGAUGCUCCCCCUCCCCCUCCCCCUCCCCCUCCCCCGCCGCGCGACUCGCUCCCUACGGCCCUAGCAACGCGCGGUGCGAGCGGGAGGGCUCGCUUACCUGGGGGAGGGUCUGGCAUCCCCCCCCCCCACUGUGCUUUGAAACACCAUUUCCCUGCUUCUUGCCUUUUUGUGUGUGCGAUGCGCGGCUGGCGACUGCUGCACGCUCGUGCUCCCCGCUCCUUCCCCAGCAAAAGCCAAUGUCCCUCCGGAGUUGAAAGGAGGGAUGGAGGACAGGCUAAAGCCAGAAGUCUUGCUGCCAAAUUCAGCUCCAGCUCCUGCUAUGAGACAGGCCUGUGUCCAAAUCAUACUUGCCGUGUGACCAAGACAGCAGCUGAAAUCUAGCAGGAGUUGCUCAAAAAGUGCACAACUUAUCUUACAGCUCUAGAGGUCAGAAGUCAACUUGCAGGCAGGACCACAUUCCUUCUGGAGGCUCUAGGAGAACGUUUUCAUGGCUUUCCCAACUUUCAGAGGCCACGUGCGCAUUCUUCGGCGCAUAGUUUCUUCCUCCACCUUCAAAGCCAGUGAUGUAUCAUCUUCAAAUCUCCCUCUGACUUCCUGCACUGUCAUAUCUCUUUCUCUGAGACUCAAAAUACACUAUACAUUUAAAAAUUACCCAGUGUUUUCAUCACGAUUUAUCUUGAAAUAAGUUGCAAGUUUUUGAGUACUAUUUAGUGUGAGCUAACAUAUCAUCAGGAAAAUGUCACUUAUAAGGGAUGUAUGCAUAGAUUAACUAUAUAUCUUCAUUAGUGAUAGGAACAUGAAUGAAUCACAUUUAAAUAUCAGUGCAUGUAGUUCUUAAGGUUUAGUUAAUGGAAAAGUAUGAUUCCCAAAUAUGCAAACAUGUGUUGCCACAUCCUGUAGAAUCGAACAUUUGCAACAGGACUAAAACUGAGAAAGCCAAACCAAUAUACAUUUUUGCAAGAGUAGCAGUGGAGGAAACCACCACUGAUCAGCUAACACUGAUGCACAGCUAACAAAGCAUCUUUUCUGAAUCAUCCAGAAACACUCUGAUUGUCUGGGGCACAUGGGCAUCUCUGUCGGUUG
rnacentral:lncRNA from 12 species